rnacentral:rRNA from 1 species
AGGUAGUAAAAGUCGUAACAAGGUCUCCGUUGGUGAACCAGCGGAGGGAUCAUUACCGAGUUUACAACUCCCAAACCCCAAUGUGAACGUUACCAAUCUGUUGCCUCGGCGGGAUUCUCUUGCCCCGGGCGCGUCGCAGCCCCGGAUCCCAUGGCGCCCGCCGGAGGACCAACUCCAAACUCUUUUUUUCUCUCCGUCGCGGCUCCCGUCGCGGCUCUGUUUUAUUUUUGCUCUGAGCCUUUCUCGGCGACCCUAGCGGGCGUCUCGAAAAUGAAUCAAAACUUUCAACAACGGAUCUCUUGGUUCUGGCAUCGAUGAAGAACGCAGCGAAAUGCGAUAAGUAAUGUGAAUUGCAGAAUUCAGUGAAUCAUCGAAUCUUUGAACGCACAUUGCGCCCGCCAGUAUUCUGGCGGGCAUGCCUGUCCGAGCGUCAUUUCAACCCUCGAACCCCUCCGGGGGGUCGGCGUUGGGGAUCGGCCCCUCACCGGGCCGCCCCCGAAAUACAGUGGCGGUCUCGCCGCAGCCUCUCCUGCGCAGUAGUUUGCACACUCGCACCGGGAGCGCGGCGCGGCCACAGCCGUAAAACACCCCAAACUUCUGAAAUGUUGACCUCGGAUCAGGUAGGAAUAC